GACGAACGCUGGCGGCGUGCUUAACACAUGCAAGUCGAACGGAAAGGCCCUGCUUUUGUGGGGUGCUCGAGUGGCGAACGGGUGAGUAACACGUGAGUAACCUGCCCUUGACUUUGGGAUAACUUCAGGAAACUGGGGCUAAUACCGGAUAGGAGCUCCUGCUGCAUGGUGGGGGUUGGAAAGUUUCGGCGGUUGGGGAUGGACUCGCGGCUUAUCAGCUUGUUGGUGGGGUAGUGGCUUACCAAGGCUUUGACGGGUAGCCGGCCUGAGAGGGUGACCGGCCACAUUGGGACUAAGAUACGGCCCAGACUCCUACGGGAGGCAGCGGUGGGGAAUAUUGCGCAGUGGGCGGAAGCCUGAUGCAGAAACGCCGCGUGCGGGAUGCCGGCCUUCGGGUUGUAAACCGCUUUCGCCUGUGACGAAGCGUGAGUGACGGUAAUGGGUAAAGAAGCACCGGCUAACUACGUG
rnacentral:rRNA from 1 species